UACGUAGGGUGCAAGCGUUGUCCGGAAUUAUUGGGCGUAAAGAGCUCGUAGGCGGUUUGUUGCGUCGGCUGUGAAAUCCCGAGGCUCAACCUCGGGUCUGCAGUCGAUACGAGCAAACUAGAGUGUUGCAGGGGAGACUGGAAUUCCUGGUGUAGCGGUGGAAAUGCGCAGAUAUCAGGAGGAACACCGGUGGCGAAGGCGGGUCUCUGGGCAACAACUGACGCUGAGGAGCGAAAGCGUGGGGAGCGAACAGG
rnacentral:rRNA from 1 species